AAUGAACGCUGGCGGCAGGCCUAACACAUGCAAGUCGAACGGAUCCUUCGGGAUUAGUGGCGGACGGGUGAGUAACGCGUGGGAACAUACCCAAAGGUACGGAAUAGCCUCGGGAAACUGGGAGUAAUACCGUAUGUGCUCGAAAGAGGAAAGAUUUAUCGCCUUUGGAUUGGCCCGCGUUGGAUAGGUAGUUGGUGGGGUAAUGGCCUACCAAGCCGACGAUCCAUAGCCGGUUUGAGAGGAUGAUCAGCCACACUGGGACUGAGACACGGCCCAGACUCCUACGGGAGGCAGCAGUGGGGAAUCUUAGACAAUGGGGGAAACCCUGAUCUAGCCAUGCCGCGUGAUCGAUGAAGGCCUUAGGGUUGUAAAGAUCUUUCAGGUGGGAAGAUAAUGACUGUACCACCAGAAGAAGCCCCGGCUAACUCCGUGCCAGCCGCCGCGGUAA
rnacentral:rRNA from 1 species